AACUGAUACUACCUGCGGGAACCUGCGGAGGGAUCAUUAAUGAGAAACUGCCCCUCGCGGGUAGAUCUCCCACCCUUUGUAAACUUACCUUUGUUGCUUUGGCAGGCCCGUCUCCGGACCGCCGGCUUCGGCUGGCCAGUGCCUGCCAGAGGAUUCUAAAACUCUGUCUGUCAGUGUUGUCUGAGUCUAUAUACAAUCGUUAAAACUUUUAACAACGGAUCUCUAGAUCGGAAGAGCACA
rnacentral:misc_RNA from 1 species